rnacentral:lncRNA from 1 species
UUAGCCUUUUUUGAGAAAAACAGAAUUGAUGUUCAGGCAGCCUAAAUAUAUUGUCUGCACAUUUUGUAUUACAAACCCAAACAGAGGAAAAACUAAUAUUCAACACUACGAAAAAAACUAAAAAUCUGACUGGUUUUACUUUAGUUGUGCUUUUUGAACCGUCCUAAUGUAGUACAUUGAGAUUGAUGCAAACACAUCACACGGCAGAAAGAGGAAUAAAAAACUAAUAAAUCCUUGCAGCUAAAUCUUUCAAUUGCUUCUUCUCUAAGGUCCGCAGGAAUUCUAAAAUAUACAUGCGAGAGGAAAUAUUUCAAUUAAGAAGACACAAAUAACAUAAAUUAACCUACAAAAAUAUCCAAAAAAGCAAAAUUUGACAACAUAAAAUACGUAAUGCAAAAGGAUAAAGAGUACUUACAUUUCGUUGUCAAAGAGUGUUAUAUCCUUCUUCAAAAUACAUUGAUUCUACCAAAAUUUUGAUUACUUUUAGUAGAGAAUCGAAAAAUAUCAAGAUGAAAGAAAGAGAAAAAAUCAAUAAAGGGAAAACACAUAUUAACAGAGAAAAAAAAUUCUCACAUGCAAGAAGAAAGAAAGACAGAAAAGCAAAAUCAAAGAAUGGGGAAGAGGAAUUACCAUAGAUCAGAAGUUUGAUGAUAGAAAAAUGCUUUUGGUCGUAUCUGAAAUUAUUUCGCAUCUUCUCCUUUGCGAAUCUUUUUCAUUGCGUUCAUUUUUUUUAAAUCUUAGUGGGUUUUAACUGAAGUGUUAAUUUUUUCAAGUGAAGGAAAUGGACAUGGGAGAGCAGACUUCUCUUUCGUGAAUGUGAGUGAGUAAGGAAAGAGAGAAGGAUAGUUGAAAAUGAGAAAGGAGUUUGGGAAAACUUGGAGUUAAUAAGCGAUUUUUU